CCUACGGGAGGCUGCAGUGAGGAAUAUUGGUCAAUGGGCGAGAGCCUGAACCAGCCAAGUCGCGUGAAGGAUGACGGCCCUACGGGUUGUAAACUUCUUUUGUCAGGGAGCAAUUGGGUCCACGCGUGGGCUUAGCGAGAGUACCUGAAGAAAAAGCAUCGGCUAACUCCGUGCCAGCAGCCGCGGUAAUACGGAGGAUGCGAGCGUUAUCCGGAUUUAUUGGGUUAAAAGGGUGCGUAGGCGGAAUAUCAAGUCAGCGGUAAAAAUUCGGGGCUAAACCCCGUCGUGCCGUUGAAACUGGUGGUCUUGAGUGGGCGAGAAGUAUGCGGAAUGCGUGGUGUAGCGGUGAAAUGCAUAGAUAUCACGCAGAACUCCGAUUGCGAAGGCAGCAUACCGGCGCCCAACUGACGCUGAAGCACGAAAGCGUGGGUAUCGAACAGGAUUAGAUACCCGGGUAGUC
rnacentral:rRNA from 1 species